GGAUUAGAUACCCUGGUAGUCCACGCCGUAAACGAUGUCUACUAGCUGUAGGGGUACUUGAGACCUUUGUAGCGCAGCUAACGCACUAAGUAGACCGCCUGGGGAGUACGGCCGCAAGGUUAAAACUCAAAGGAAUUGACGGGGGCCCGCACAAGCGGUGGAGCAUGUGGUUUAAUUCGAUGCAACGCGAAGAACCUUACCUACUCUUGACAUCCUUGGAAUCCUCUGGAGACAGAGGAGUGCCUUCGGGAACCAAGUGACAGGUGCUGCAUGGCUGUCGUCAGCUCGUGUCG
rnacentral:rRNA from 1 species